CGGACGGGUGAGUAACACGUGGAUAACCUACCUAUAAGACUGGGAUAACUUCGGGAAACCGGAGCUAAUACCGGAUAAUAUAUUGAACCGCAUGGUUCAAUAGUGAAAGACGGUUUUGCUGUCACUUAUAGAUGGAUCCGCGCCGCAUUAGCUAGUUGGUAAGGUAACGGCUUACCAAGGCAACGAUGCGUAGCCGACCUGAGAGGGUGAUCGGCCACACUGAACUGAGACACGGUCCAG
rnacentral:rRNA from 1 species